CCUACGGGAGGCAGCAGUGGGGAAUAUUGGACAAUGGGGGAAACCCUGAUCCAGCAAUGCCGCGUGAGUGAUGAAGGCCUUAGGGUCGUAAAGCUCUUUUACCAGGGAUGAUAAUGACAGUACCUGGAGAAUAAGCUCCGGCUAACUCCGUGCCAGCAGCCGCGGUAAUACGGAGGGAGCUAGCGUUGUUCGGAAUUACUGGGCGUAAAGCGUGCGUAGGCGGUUAUUCAAGUCAGAGGUGAAAGCCCGGGGCUCAACCCCGGAACGGCCUUUGAAACUAGAUAACUAGAAUCUUGGAGAGGUCAGUGGAAUUCCGAGUGUAGAGGUGAAAUUCGUAGAUAUUCGGAAGAACACCAGUGGCGAAGGCGACUGACUGGACAAGUAUUGACGCUGAGGUACGAAAGCGUGGGGAGCAAACAGGAUUAGAUACCCUGGUAGUCCACGCCGUAAAACGAUGAUAACUAGCUGUCCGGACACUUGGUGUUUGGGUGGUCGGCGAGCGUACGACAUUAAGUUAUUCCGUCCGUCGGGUAGGUACGGUCGGCGAAGAAUUAAACUUAACAAAGGAAAGUUAGUACGGCGUGAGACGUGCCGAACGGACGACGACCGAGGGAGGUAGG
rnacentral:rRNA from 1 species